UACGUAGGGGGCAAGCGUUGUCCGGAUUUAUUGGGCGUAAAGAGCGUGUAGGCGGCUAGGUAGGUCCGUUGUGAAAACUCGAGACUCAACCUCGAGACGCCGGUGGAAACCAUCUAGCUAGAGUCCGGAAGAGGAGAGUGGAAUUCCUGGUGUAGCGGUGAAAUGCGCAGAUAUCAGGAAGAACACCCGUGGCGAAGGCGGCUCUCUGGUACGUGACUGACGCUGAGACGCGAAAGCGUGGGGAGCGAACAGG
rnacentral:rRNA from 1 species